AGUCCUUGGCUUAUGGCAGGAAAACCGGUAGUUAAAGAAGUGUUGGUAUGCCCUUCAUUAAGAACUCAAACUUCUGAACCCUUCUUUGUUCUUUGGUUGAGAAUAUAGAAUAUUCUCACGAACCGAAGGAAAGGGCGGAGAUUCACUAAUAACUUCUUAUCAGACAGACAAAAGAAAGAGGGCAGGCGGGAAUAAAUAAUAGAAUAGGAGAACUCUUCGAUCGGAGGCAGAUUCCGAGUUGGUUAGUUUGACUUCUUCUCUUCUCCCUACUUACUAUCCUUACC
rnacentral:lncRNA from 1 species